CCGGCCGCCUGGAGCCGCUCAGCGCGCCCGGCGAGGACCCGGCCUCGCGCUCCGCCAGCGCCCGCCUGAGCCGCCCGAGCCGCUCUCCGCCCGCCGGAGCCGCCACUGCUGCCGCGAGGUCCCGUCGGGGGUGCGCCGGCCCGGAGGCAGGGGCGUCCGGCACGAUUCCGGUCUGGUCACGUUGGAGACUGGUCAUUUUCUAGAGGGAAAGGAGAAGCCCAUGAAAGGAUGGUGAAUUCUCUUUGAGUUUCAGUUGCCAGAAUAAAAGGUGGCCUGCUCUGUGGAGCCCAGCGGAGUGCAGGGUGCACUGGUGAUUCCACAGAGGAGGAGCCUGGCCCAGAGCAUCCAGUCUGGCUCUGCGCACCUAGCAACCUCUGAGUAGCUGCCCCGAAGGGAGGUUUGCGUUUCUGAUUUCCCUUCCAGCUUCUCCCCGCCCCCCCGCACCCCAGCUGUGGUUGGCAUGCCUUUGCGUGUCAGGCUGCGUGGAUCCUCUCCAGCAUCAGCCUCUGUCGCCUCUCACCCUGUCAUCCCGUGCCCCUGCGCGUGCCCAGCCCACAUCCCAGCGUGCCCGCCCGCUCCUGCUCCGGCCCUGGCUCCCCAUCACAUCAGGGCUUCACCCCUCCCACUUUUACCCAUCUCGGCCCUCCCUGCGGUGCCCUUGCCAAUGCCACGCCUGUCUCUUGGCCUCUCCCUCCUCCGCCUGCAGGCCCCUGGCUUCCCUGGCAUCCCCCUCCUGCCUCUGACCCUGGGCAGGCUGUUGGUGCAGCCAGCCCAGAAGGGACCACUCAUGCAGCCCUCUCCCUCCCUCCCGCUCUGCACACUGGCCCAGAUCUGCACAGAAUCCGGUCACGUGCCUAACACAGCCCGAACUUUUCACAGUGUGGAUCUUUGGCCGUAGCCAGGGCUCAGGCCCACAGGCUCAGCGUGGCAUCCUGGGCCUGUCGGAUGCAGGUUCCCCCCUCCGACCGCUGGGUGCCGAGUUCCAGGCCUGUGUGAUUACUGCUGGCUCCGCCCCACGGCUCACACUCACUGUUCUUGUCCGGUACCUCUGCCUUCCUGAAGACCCCGAGGUGCCUCCUCCGAGCAGCAGCCGGGGGCAGGGCGGGUGGGAGGAGCACAGACUUGGAGGAGGUGGCCCUGAUCUCAGCAGAGAGGGCUGCGGCAGAGGUGGACUGACUCCCUGCCUUAGCCUCUAGCACAGAUGUUUACAAAGUGCUGGCUUUCUGCUCCUGGAAGCUCUUCCAAUCUGUCCUCAGUGGGUUUUUGCUUUAGGUCAUUGUUUUGCUGACAAAAUCUUCAAUAAAGAAGCCCCUUCUGUUGCAGAGGGCAAGAGAGCCUGUAGGUGGAAGCUCCUGAAUGCUGCUUCUGCAUACUCCAGGCUGUUUGAUGAGCAGGCAGGGUAACCCAGGGCCUGGCCUGCACCAGGCCGUGAUCCUCCCCAGCGCCACAAAGCAGAGCAAAACAAGCCACCCUCAGUGCACAGUGCUGCCCGCAGCCCUUUCGGGGACAGUCCCUCGGCUCAGCUCCAGCCUUCGGCCCAAGGUGCAGGCUCUCAAGAGGUUCUAGACUCCUUGUCAUCCAGAUCCAGCAGCAUGUGUCCUAGAAGGGAAGUACGGGACCUCUAGAGAUCUGAACCCACUUUGCUCGAGUGCUUCUUCACCCUAGACGGAGGGCACCUGGGAGGGUGACCCCCGAGGGGUCUUGCUUUGGCUUCUCCGAGGGGCAGUGGUGGAGUGGGAUGAACGUAGUGGGAGCAGGUGUGGCUGAGUGUGCGGUGUGGGCUGCAGGGCAGGGUGAGCAGCGGUGCUCCCUUCCCUCUACCUCUGAACCCAGGUGACAGGAGCACCUCCCCCUUGGAGUGGGGAAACUGCCAGUGGCUGCAGAACACAGCCGGAGAACAGGGCCCUCCGAUGCCUCUGCCUGUCAGGCCUGGCUGCAUGCUGGGGAGGGGAGUGUGCCUGUUGGUGGCAUCUGCAUUCCCAGGUGAGGGGCAACCUCCACUGAGGCCUGACCAGAAGAAACAGAACUGCAGACCCGGACCCUGGGGUCUGGGGUCAACAUGGGGAGUGGCUCAACACAGUUCCAGCCCUGGAGUUGUUUACAAUAUGUUAUUUGAAAUUUUAACACGAUCAGAGUUAAAUCACGACUAUUAAACACUCCCUUGAUCCAGGUACUUUGUGUCCCUUUAUUUUGAGAUGUGCCUAGGCUCACCGUGUCUGGUAGGGGGGUAGACGGGGUUUGCUCCCCUGGGAAGAGCUGCCUGUUACUAGGGCUGGUGUCAGUAGAAGCGUCCAGGGUCACAAGUGUGCUCCCGUGGGAACAGGGCACUGGAAAUCUGCUGCACCUGGCAAGACGGGCACUACAGCCCAGGACAGUGCCAGCUGAAAUGCAAUCCUCUGUGUGGCCGAGAGCUGCUGUCAAAAACAGAAAAGCUGGCUCUGAUUCUCUGAAUCCAAAUCCAGCCCAGUGAUCCCAGAGCCAGCUGCUCGGGCCCCUAAGGUGAGGUCUCAGGGCCCAGGCUGACCUCUUGUGUCCUCAUGGAGCCUACCAAGCCCUUGUGGUUCACUCGUUAACUUUGAUGAGAGGAAAUCUCUGCAAAAUCCUGUGUACGGUCCCAGAGACAUAUUUUAUCAUCAUGAUAAAGUAUCGUGUCGAUGUAAUCACAAGGCUUCCUAAGCUGUCUUCAUCAAGGGUAAGACAACCAGCAGUUAGCAGGUACCUGUAUUUAGCAAGUUAAACAGUCUUUGGUCUUGGGGCAGGGGAGAAAAUUCAAUGGUAGAGCAUGUACUGAGCAUGCAUAAGGCCUGAGUUCAGUGCUCAGCAAAAAUAGAAGUCUUCACUCUCAAGGAAUUUAUAUCACAUGCAUGUGUCUGCACGUGCCCCUCACCACAUUCCUGUUCUUUGAGCUUAAAAACAGAAGGAUGAAUGAUCAUAUUCAUGGUAUGGCUGAAAAAUACAGUGAAUGUUUAAUUUUUUUAUAAGUUAUUAUAUGAAAGACAUUUCCAUGACUCCCCCUGGUUUCAAACAUACUUAUCUUCUUACCUCUUUCUGAAGCAGUUGUGGAAGUCCUCUUCCGUGAAAGUCUUCAGCUGCACUGUCUUGGCUGCCUGGAUGUCCUUAAUUAACGCAAAACAUUUUCCUUUCAUGGUCAUUUUGACUUUGUUGGAGAGCCAGAAGUUGUAUGGUGCCGAUCCAAUGAAUAACAUAGGUGAGGACACACUGUAAUGAUUUUAUGAGCCUGCUUUUUUGUUGGAUGGCACCCCACAGCAGCAGUCAUUGUAUUUUUGAUCAUACCUUGUAAAGACACUCACAAAAGAGGACUUCUAGAACUCCUUCGAGAAGUGACAAGAAUGAUGGAAUGAGUGUGUUCAAAGCAAUUCGUGUGAGGGCUUAAUGGCAAUGUGUCUUUUACUGUAAUGAAUGUUAGAACAUUCACCAUAUUUGUUGAUCACACUGUGUAUGUUUAAGUGACACAAACACAGCAGCAGGACAUGGGUGACUACUUUACUACAACUGACAAGUCUUUGGUAUAACAAACCCCUUGGACCAAGGGGCUAAACGCCCACUAGAAUGGAGGAAGGGGCCUGAAUGUUUCAUUGGAAGGUGGAUGCCCAUGAGAAAAAUCACUACAACUUGAACAGCUGAGGGUAAGGAGAUAGGAUGGUUUGACGGGCCGGAAAUGGCAGCUUGCUGUGGUGGGGCUGGUUGGAGAGCUAUGUGGCCCUGGAGGUGCGAGAGGCCUGCUGUGUGUGGGAGUGACUCCUAGCAGAUGGGAGGGCUGGUUUCUGGGGAUCAUAGUCUUCCAAAGUCAGAAUCGGGGUCAUGCAUGUGACCUGGGCUCUUUGGCCUGAUUGCUACAAAAAGGCAUGUGGUAGAGAGCAUGAUCCUCACCCUCCCCAAAGACAUCCAUGUCCUAACCCACAAAAACUGGAUGUAUUAGGUUACUCGGCAAGAAGCGGUUAAGGUUGCUCAUCCCAUGUCCUUGACAUGGGAGGACCAUCCUGGGUUUUCCACUGGGACCAGUGCAAUCAGUCAGAGUGCUACAGGAAAAUGAAGAAGACGGUCAGGAGAGCGCGGGAUGGAUGUGAUGCCAGAGUCUGUGGCCACUGCUGCCUGGAAGUUGCAUGAGCCGAGGAGUGCAGGAGGCCCCUGGAACCGGACAGGGCAAGAGAAUGGAUUCUUCCCUGGAGGUCCAAGAGAAAUGUGAUCUUGCCAGCACCUUUAUUUUUAGUCCAGCAAGACCCAUUUCAGACUUAAAUUUUGAGAACUAUCAUCAUUGUAUGUUGUUUUAAGCCAAGAAAUGUGUAGUGAUUCGUUCCAGCAAGCCAUAGUAAACAAUGCAAUGUGGAAAUCUGUCUCUAUUUUGGAAACACAAAACCCUCUUAAUUAUUUACAUAAUGCAAUUUGGAAAUUUAAGGAAUAUAAAUAAGUCAAGGGUGAAUCUUGUCAAAAUUAAUUCAGGUUUUUCUGAGUUAAUUUAUUUUGCCAGAAUUGGGGCAGGAACACUGUUUCUCCACCUUUAUAUCUUCACUGCCUAGAUCAGUGCCUGACUCAUUCAGCUUCAGAUGAAUGAAUCUCUCUUAACUAAAUGCAUGAAAAAACAAAAGAAUCUACUUUUCAAAGAAAUUCAUUUUAUGCAAGAAUGUGUCCUUAUUAUUAGAAAUGUUGAAGUCAGGCCUUUGUAAACAACUAAUAACAUAUUUCGCGUUUUCCUUCAGAGAAGAGAGUCUUGGUGGGAAGCCUAAGUUGGAUUAAGAAAAAGUCAUUGUCACAGGUCGAGCAACUCUAAUCUGAAAAGUAAGAUCCCAGGUGCUCCACAAUCUGAACUUUCUGAACAUCAGCACAGUACCGCAUGAGGUGAAUUCUACACCUGGCCUCAUGAGCUGAUGGGUCAGAGGCAAAACACAGACACGUUGGAAGCGCUGUGUACAGUUACCUUCAGGCUGUGCACAUCUGGGUGUGUCAAGCAUAAAAUGAAUUUGGGGUCCCCUCCCCAGGAUAUGUUGUAAUAUAUGUGCAAAUACAAAAAUCUGAAGAAAUUAAAAAUCUGAAAUAGUUCAGAACAUUGCAGAUAAAGGGAUAUGUGAUGAUUAAUCAUAAUUACCGAGUUGAUUGGAAAGGGAGAUACCUAGGACAUUAGGGAAGCACCCUUGGGGUGUGUCUGUGAGGGUGGUUCCAGAGAUGACUGGCAUGUAGGGCAGCAAAUUGAUGGGAGAUACCUGCCAGUGAAUGUUGGGCUCCAUCCAAUAGGGUGGGACCCCGACGGAGCAGAGGGUGGAAGCCCACAGCAGGCGCUGGCUCUCCGCUCCUCCGCUCCCAGCUGCCCUGAGGGGAGCAGCUCUGCCCUGCCAGUGAUAUUCUGCCUCACCACAGGCCCUGGAAACUGGAGCCAGCCAACCAGGGACUGAAACCUCUAGGACCAGGCGUGAAAGAAAGCCUCUCCCAGGUGUUUUGGUCACAGCAGUGAAAAGCCAACACAGGACACUCAACCCAGACUUCCAGGAGGUCUAAGAACUCCUCAGUGUCUCCACAUGGUUGAAGUAUUAAUGGGUCCUUUGCUUGCUUAAUAAAAGUGCUACAAUAUGUAGCACAUUGGAACCUCAAAUUGAUGGAAAAAAGG
rnacentral:lncRNA from 1 species